GUAGGAAUGAGUGUCUGCUAGAAUGGUUUUGUGCUAAACACAGCAGUUUAAAAAAUACAAACCGAAAAGAUUAAAUUUCUUCUUGGUGGAAGUUGAGCAAUGGCAUUCGAAAGAAAGUAGUGAUAUCAUCAUUACUGAAAAGCCUUAACUGUAAACACAAACUACGCCCAAGUAUUUCUCAACAUUUUCCCAAAUGACACUGGCCGUUAUUCACCAGAUAAACAGAUGUUGGGGGUUGAAAACUGACAAGCAAUAUGUAUGUCAAAGUGCAACGUAGCUAACCAGAGUUUUUUUUUUUUCUCCUGUUUACUAUAUUGGUCUAUAAGUUGUGCGAGUCUGUUCUAAAUUCCCCACAAUUCACAAAUGACUGAAAAAAAACCUACUGAGUUUUCAUUUUUCGGUCGAACAUGUCUCUAAUAAUAAAUCAUUUUUCAACCUGGUUCAUAAAAAUAUAUUUGGAUUGGAGAAUAAG